rnacentral:tRNA from 1 species
GUUUAUAUAGUUUAAUUUUAAAACUUUACAUUUUCAUUGUAAAAAUAAAAAUAAUUUAUUUUUUAUAAAUA